rnacentral:misc_RNA from 1 species
GAUGAAGAACGUAGCGAAAUGCGAUAAGUAAUGUGAAUUGCAGAAUUCAGUGAAUCAUCGAAUCUUUGAACGCACAUUGCGCCCGCUAGUAUUCUGGCGGGCAUGCCUGUUCGAGCGUCAUUUCAACCCUCAAGCCCCCGGGCUUGGUGUUGGGGAUCGGCGUGCCCUCGCGGCGCGCCGUCCCCUAAAUCUAGUGGCGGUCUCGCUGUAGCUUCCUCUGCGUAGUAGCAACACUCGCACUGGAUCGCAGCGCGGCCACGCCGUUAAACCCCCCACUUCUGAAAGUUUGACCUCGGAUCAGGUAGGAAUACCCGCUGAACUUAAGCAUAUCAAUAAGCGGAGGA